GAUGAACGCUGGCGGCGUGCCUAAUACAUGCAAGUCGAGCGAACAGACGAGGAGCUUGCUCCUCUGACGUUAGCGGCGGACGGGUGAGUAACACGUGGAUAACCUACCUAUAAGACUGGGAUAACUUCGGGAAACCGGAGCUAAUACCGGAUUACAUUUUGAACCGCAUGGUUCAACAGUGAAAGACGGUCUUGCUGUCACUUAUAGAUGGAUCCGCGCCGCAUUAGCUAGUUGGUAAGGUAACGGCUUACCAAGGCAACGAUGCGUAGCCGACCUGAGAGGGUGAUCGGCCACACUGGAACUGAGACACGGUCCAGACUCCUACGGGAGGCAGCAGUAGGGAAUAUUCCGCAAUGGGCGAAAGCCUGACGGAGCAACGCCGCGUGAGUGAAGAAGGUCUUCGGAUCGUAAAACUCUGUUAUUAGGGAAGAACAAAUGUGUAAGUAACUAUGCACGUAUUGACGGUACCUAAUCAGAAAGCCACGGCUAACUACGUG
rnacentral:rRNA from 1 species